rnacentral:rRNA from 1 species
AGAGUUUGAUCCUGGCUCAGAACGAACGCUGGCGGCAGGCCUAAUACAUGCAAGUCGAGCGGAAAGGCUCCUUCGGGAGUGCUCGAGCGGCGAACGGGUGAGUAACAGGUGGACAACCUACCUUUUGGCGGGGGAUAACGGCUGGAAACGGCCGCUAAUACCGCAUGUGAUUGCAAGAUCUUCGGGUCAUGCAAGGAAAGACGCGUUCGGCGUCGCCAAAAGAUGGGUCCGCCCCCCAUUAGCUAGUUGGUGUGAUAACAGCGCACCAAGGCAACGAUGGGUAGCCGAGCUGAGAGGUUGAUCGGCCACACUGGAACUGAGACACGGUCCAGACACCUACGGGUGGCAGCAGUAGGGAAUAUUGCGCAAUGGGCGAAAGCCUGACGCAGCCAUGCCGCGUGAGUGAAGAAGGCCUUCGGGUCGUAAAGCUCUUUUCUGAGGGAAGAACACCCGGUAGAGGAAAUGCUACCGGUCUGACGGUACCUCAGGAAUAAGGAACGGCUAACUCCGUGCCAGCAGCCGCGGUAAUACGGAGGUUCCAAGCGUUGUUCGGAAUUACUGGGCGUAAAGGGGGCGCAGGCGGUUAAAUCAGUCUAAAGUGGAAGCCCGGGGCUCAACCUCGGAAAGCCUUUAGAUACUGUUUAACUCGAGUACGUGAGAGGAAAGCGGAAUUCAAGGUGUAGCGGUGAAAUGCUUAGAUAUCUUGAGGAACACCAAUGGCGAAAGCAGCUUUCUGGCACGAAACUGACGCUGAGGCCCGAAAGCGUGGGGAGCGAACGGGAUUAGAUACCCCGGUAGUCCACGCCGUAAACGUGGUGCCACUAGGUGUGGGAGGACAUCGACCCCUCCCGUGCCGCAGCUAACGCUUUAAGCACACCGCCUGGGGAGUACGGCCGCAAGGCUAAAACUCAAAGGAAUUGACGGGGACCCGCACAAGCGGUGGAGCAUGUGGUUUAAUUCGAGGCAACGCGAAGAUCCUUACCCAGGCUUGACAUCCCGUGACAUCCAUGGAAGCAAGUUCGUGCCUCUUCGGAGACGCGGUGACAGGUGUUGCAUGGCUGUCGUCAGCUCGUGUCGUGAGAUGUUGGGUUAAGUCCCGCAACGAGCGCAACCCCUAUCCAUAGUUACCAGCGGUUCGGCCGGGAACUCUAUGGAGACUGCCCGUGAUAAGCGGGAGGAAGGUGGGGACGACGUCAAGUCAUCAUGGCCCUUACGUCUGGGGCUACACACGUGCUACAAUGGCCGGAACAAUGAGCAGCAAAAUCGCGAGGUAGAGCUAAUCUCAAAAAUCCGGUCUCAGUUCGGAUUGGAGUCUGCAACUCGACUCCAUGAAGUUGGAAUCGCUAGUAAUCGCGUAUCAGCAAUGACGCGGUGAAUACGUUCCCGGGCCUUGUACACACCGCCCGUCACAUGACCCGAGUCGGUUGCACCCGAAGUCGCUGACCCAACCCGCAAGGGAGGGAGGUGCCGAAGGUGUGAUUGGUAAGGGGGAUGAAGUCGUAACAAGGUAGCCGU